rnacentral:lncRNA from 1 species
UUUGUCCCUUUUAUUCAUAAAGGAGUGCAGUAGUAAUUGGAGACGUACCUAUCCAUAUGAUCUUCCAUCACCAACCUAAUGUUAACCUUGUUGGAGCUGCAAUUAGCAUCAAGCAAUUCCUGCUAAUUAAUCAGGAGCCAUACAGUAGUAUCAUCACAUCAUCAUGAUCACCUGAUUCAUACAAAUCUGGAACUGAAGUUCUUCAUAUGGUAAUCUUUCGGCGAAGAAAAGUUGAACGUUGUUGGGGAUGUUCCGCCUCCAUCGCCCCCCUCUUGCAUUAAACUACAGUCAAAAGGCUCCCAUCACGCCCCCAUUGCCACCAAACACUCCACCUUCCUCUCUCUCUCUCUCUCUCUCUCUUAAUCCUUAUUAGCAAAAGGUGCAUGAUGAUCCGUAUGGGUUCAAUUUUAAUGAACCAUCCAUUCAUCCAGUUGAUGAAGGAGUUAUACUUUUGCUACAAUAAAUACAACUUAGAAAGGAGAAUUAAUCUACUCAUAUCAUGAAUUUAAAGUACUUAAAAUAGAGAAUUAAAACAAAAAAAUUCUCGGGCGAUAAUCGGUCAGAAGUUCUGCACCAGAAAUAUGAACAGAUCACAACAAAACGCUUGUUGUUGGUUCUUUAUUUUUUCUCCUCUCACCAAUCCUAACAACACCCUUCUUUGCUAAGGGCAGGAGUUGAUUCUGACAAAGAUGAAGUUGGACGAUAAAGUUGUUGAUUUUAUGAUGGUUCUGUGUUGUAGAAUUCUAUCAUAAGUUGGUUGAAAGAAGAGUAAUCCUUACUUGUUGAUCUCAGUUGUUGUCGGAGAAGGAUUAUCGAGGCUUUCUUCCCUUUCUCAUCUUCUUCUUAUACUGCUUGCUCUUGGCCAAAAAGUUGUCUGAGAUUAGAUAGCUAAGAAGCCGACAUGAUAUGAACACAAUGAAAUUAAAAAAAAAUUAAGAUACAUGCAUGCCAAGUACACAUGUGAACGAGAGAUCAAGAGAGAAAUACUUCCUAAGUUACAUGAAGUGCAAAAGCAAUUGAUCGAUAAAGGCAAUGCAUUAUAACAAUCUAGUAACAAUGUAAACUAUCAUCAUCUUUCACCCAUCUAAACCCCUUGGUUAAAAGUUUUAGUGACUAGAAAAGAUACACUUGUCACUAAAUUAUGGAUUUUAGUGACGACUUAUUUUUUGUGACUAAUGCAUUUAAAUUAUGUUAUUAAAAAUAAAUAAAUUGAUGAAAUAAUAUAUGUAACAAUAUUUGGUGAUUAAUGAUUCUAUCACUAAAUGCCAUGAUAAAAAAAGUUUCAAUCAUCACUCAGACUUUAGUGGCAAGAGUUUUAGUGACAACUACUUGAACACUAACACAAAUUAAGAUGAAAAUAAUGUUAGUAACAAACUGUCAACAAAAAUAACAUUAUUAUCCUCUCAAUAAUAUUUUUUUGACAAUCUAUCAAUUUUAAUAAUUUUAAAAUUAUACUAAAAUUUCAAUUAAAAUAAAUCCACAUCAUUUUGUCCAAAAGUCAAUAUUAGAGUUAGUACAACCACAAAAUCUACAUCAUAUCAUAAAAAAAAAACAUCAUCUUUGCAUCCUACAUGAAAGAUAUAAAAAUGAAAUUUUACAUCUUCAUUCUUCAGCACAUUCUUCUAUGUUCUUUUUUUAUCCUACAUGUGGUCACAAUUACACAAUUAUAUAAAAACAAAUCAUUAGAUUGACAAUAGACAAUAUAAAAUAGGAUGCGAGCAUUAGGCUGAUAAUAAAAAAAUAUAAAAUAGGAUGCCCAAGAAUGAAAGUGAUGCACAACCUCCAAGACAAACACAAUGGAACAAAAAUAGACUGUGAGUUAAGUAACUUUGUGAGUUAUAACCUACAAAUAAGUCGAAUCUAUCUAUAGAAAAUCAGAGUGGUAUUACAGCUACAACUAAGACCCCAAAAGCAGGAUCAAAUAUAGUAUAUGUUGUACAAAAAAUUCACGUAUCAAGAAACAAAAUAUGACCGUACCAUUUACAGCUGCAAUGCAACUGAAACAGCAUAGAGUUGAAAAUUGUCUUUCUUGUUGCAACAGAAACAAAUAAAACUUGCAUUGUUUCCAGUUGCUGCUGCACCAGUCUUGAAAUGAAACAUUUGAUUCAUGUAACAGGAGAAAGAUUUCCCAUUCCUGACAUUUUAAAACUGAACAGUUAUGGAUCUUAUUAAACUGCCUUCAAUUGAGACCCUAAAGAAAGUGCUGAGGGUGAUAACUAAUUCCUGAAUCUCCCUUAAGAGAGGUGAAUAUUAUUUGUAUAAUGGGGUCAGCUAAAUGUCUUAGUUGCAGUGGCUUCUAUUUGGGCCUCAGCUGCUACUAGAAAAGCUAUUUCUUUUCUUUCAACCAUUCCCUGUUUAGAAAACAAUGAAGAAGUAACUUUAGUUUCAUGACAGAAAAACUAUAUUACACGUAAGGAGAAAUUGCAAUGGAACUAUCUAAGAGGCAAGACUUUUCCCUGAAAGACACCAACAAAGAAGUGAAGGAAAGAUAAACAUGUACCAGGGCAUUGAAGACAAGGGUCCAGAUGUGAGAAUAAACAAACUUUUGCUAAAGAUAGAAAAAUAGAUAUCACUCAUAAGAAAUUACUUUAAGAGAAAGAUUUGUCGAUGCUCUAAGUUUAUCCCACUAGCAUGUUGAUAAGAGACUUCCAUGUUUCUAAUUUAAAAUCCACAGUGUCAGCUGAAAGUAAUUAAAAAUUAACCUAGACAUGGUAUAAAAAUAGUCAAAAAGUGGCAUGUUCUAGCAUGAUUUAACACAAAUCUUGCUGUCUGACUGAACAUUUAAUGCUUGAUCAAAAAUUAAGAACGAAAGAAAAUUAAAUUGUCGACAUGAGUUCCUUUUUCAUUUUUUGGACUUUCCAACUUAUAAAUUUUGUUAAUUACUCAUAUGUGUACUGAUAGAAGAGCUCCUUCUCCUAAAUAAGACUUUUUAAUAAACUUCUAUGCCAACUAGAACUCUAUGGAAGUGAUUUAUAAUAUUGUCAAUUACCUUCCCAGGGUUGAUUAGGCUGGCAGGAGGAGAGUCCCAUGGGAUGGCAUCCACAACUCUUCUUUGUAAAUAUAGAUGAAUUGCCCAAAAGCUAAAGCUUGUUCAUUAAGCUCAGGUCAUUGUCAUCUUUAGAUAAUGAAACAUAUGUGGAAUGUGAAUGAUCAGAGAUCUUUAUGAAGAAACCAUGGUCUGGCUAAAGCUCCGAGUCAGACAAAGCAGGCACAAUGUUGAUUACUUGAAGAAGCACUGACCAGUAUUCUCUACAUAUUUUUAUGUCAGUAGUUAAGUUCUUCAGAACCUCUAUUAGUACCCCUAGAGUAAGAGAUGUCAUGUUCCUCCUCCCCUUCUAAGCAUAAGAUAUGUCUGAAGCAACAACAACUGAGCACAGAUCAGAGAAUCACAUGAAACACACACUAAACAAUAUCAAGGAAAUAAAAGUGAAAAAUCAGUUUUCAAUUUAGAAAAAGUUUAAACAAUUAUUUAUUAAAAGGAAAAAGAAAAUGUUUUGUAUAGGAAAUUAAUAGGAAGAAAUAACUUGCAUGUAACUAGUUGCAUUACACAUCAAUAUGUAGUUAGAGCACUCCACAUAAAAUGCAAGAGUUUGCUUUUUUUUAAAAAAAUAAUAAUUAGAGCUUUAUGAUCCAUUGUCAGACUUGCAUCAGCCUUCCGAAUAUAAUAAGUUCCAAACCAAAACAAAUGUAAACAAUCAAGGAAUUUUGUUAAGGCCUACUGGAUAAAGCAUCAGGUUAUGAAUCAUCAAGCACUACUUACAAUUAAACACCAUAGGAUAAAAAUAUGUGCUGCACUUAUUCUCCACACAGCAAAGUAUUACUCCUCAAAUGCCAAUUUUUAAGUCAUCAAACACCAGCUACAAAUCUGUCACAAGCACAUCAAGGAUCAACUUUUUGUGCUCACUGAACCACUUCCAUCACAAUGUUUCACUGUGCUUUGCUUUGAGGCAGUUGUCUACUAUGGUUCCUCCUCUUUAUAUCAUAGAGUACAAACUAAAUCCAUAAAAGAUGAGCAUCAGAUUGAUUAAGACUAUUUUAAUACUGUACAGUUAUAUAAAGCUGGAAAGCAUGGACAGGAUGGUUUGCGUAGUGUACCGUGUCCAACAUGUAUUUUAAUACUGUACAAAUAUAUACAACUGGGAAGCACAAACAUGAUGGUUUGGGUGGCAUAUUGUGUUCGACACGUGUAAUGUACCGUGUCCAAUAAGUUAUUAUGGACUUAGCUGAAAUUGCCUAAGUCGUGAGGCACUCUUGCGGUAAAGUCACGGAUUUAGCUAGAGUUGCCUAAGUUAUGAAGCACUAUUGCGCCAACUUUUCGAACUUAUGUGAGAUUGUCUAAGUCAUGAAGCACCCAGGUCCCAUAGAACCUAUAAAAGGAGCAAGUUGAUUAGCUCGAAAGCGAGCGAUGGACAAGUCCUGACAUCUCGCGAAAAGGACAGCUUUACAAGCAAUUCAGCAAACACUUGACGUACAAGAGAGAAAAGAGAGGAAGAAGAAAACAAGGACUUUAGAACGUAAAAUGAACAGUAGCAAGUUCACAAACGACUGCUCAUCGGGUAUCAGGCAUGAUGGUAAGAUCCUGUCAACUAAAUAUGCGAACUUGUGAAAACCGAUCAACAUCCAACACUACCCUAAAGCCCCAUCCACCCCUGUGCCACCUAAGGGUAUCUGGGGGUCUGAGAUGGUUGACGUUUCACACCACACCACGAUUUGUAGAAAACAAGUCGCAACAUGCGAAAACACAGCCAUUUUGGGGUAGUUUUGCCUGGCAUGAUGAGCGGUCGCACUGUAACGUUAUGAACUAUUCUUGCUUAUUUUUUCCAAGCAAAAACACACAAAACCAACGCAAAACUUGCUGCUAAGCAUCUAUAUAAGCACGUAAAAGCGACAAACGACUCGUUCAACGAAGAUGUUACGGGUGCGCAACAAACGUUCGUGAUAUUCUCCCCCACUUAAACUAUCAACACCCUCGUCGACACUUACUGGUAGGCUUUAAUGAUUGCUUCUUCGUGUCUUAGGGCAUCUUUAGGCUCUCAACUAGUUUCUGUUCGAGGAAGCUUUGGCCACUUCACCAAGUAUUCGGUUGCUUCGCUCUAUUAGGUAGCUUUGUCUUGCGAUUCGCUAAAAUGGUUUCAACUCGCUUCUCCUAGGAGGCUCUGCUAGUUGGAAUACUUCGGGAAGCAUCUUGCGGAUCUGAGUAGUAGGCUUUCAAGUUACUUACGAGGAAGACAUUGUGAAUUUUAAGCCACGUUGACAGCUACAACUUGUAGGAGACAUUGCCUACCCUGCUGAUAAUUAGGAAGAGUCUUUCAUACUUGCACACUAAUCUCUUGUGUACUUUAUGCCGAAAGAAUUAAAGCGAUGUUAGUUGGAGCUUCACCAACACUAAGUCACCAACUUUAAACUCCUAUGACAUUCUCAAGUCUGCCCACUUCAUCUAUCUUUUUGGCCACCUUCUCCAAGUAAGCCCGUGCAAUAUCUGCAUUUCGGUGUCAUUCCUUUGCAAAGUGAUAUGCUGACGAGCUACUUCCAGUAGAAUCAAUCACCAAGGUGUGAGGAGUUGACGACAGUUGUCCCGUAAUGAUCUCGAAGGGGCUUUUGUUAGAUGCAGAGCUCCGCUGCAAGUUGUAAGAGAAUUGGACUAUGUCCAACUGCUUUACCCGAUCUCUUUGGUUAGAACUCACGUAGUGCUGAAGAUAUUGCUCAAGGAGCAAAUUUAAUUUUUCAAUUUGACCAUCCGUUUGGGGGUGGAGGCUUGUGGAGAAGUAUAACUUGGACCAUAGCAAUUUGAAUAGCUCGAUCCAAAAUUAUCCAAAGAAUCAUGCAUCUCGAACACUGAUGAUAUUAUGCGAAACUCCCUAAUACUUCACCAUAUUCUUCAUCAUCAACUUGGCCGCCUCCUCUGCUGAACAGUGUAGGGGUGCAACAAUGAAUGUUGCAUACUUUAAAAACUGAUCGACCACUACGAGUAUCGAUCUGAGUCCCUCUACUACCGACAAACUUAAUAUGAAGUCCAAGGAAAUGCUCCCCCAUGGACUUUUUGGUACAGGCAACGGCUCCAAAAAUCUCACCGGCUUUCGCUACUCUAUCUUAUCUUAUUGGUAAGUAAGGCAUGUUCGAACAUAUUCCUUUACAUCAGUCCCCAUCUUUGGCCAAUAAAAAACCCUCUCCACAAGAGCCAACGUUCGAUGAAUGCUCGAAUGUUAAGCCCAAAGAGAAUUAUGACACACUAUCAAGAGUUCACGCCUCAAAUUAUCCGCUCGAGGAACAUAAACUCUAUUCCCUUUGGUGUAGAUGAAACCCUCCUAGACCCAAAAUCAUCGUGUCUUUCCCUCUUUGAUUAUUUGCAUUAAGGUUAUUGCUUGAGGAUCACUGCAUAGUCCGUCCCUGAUUGCUAUUGAAAUUUUGGUAUAUUCAGAACCGGGCCUCGUAGCUCGGAAGUUUGUUUUAUGUCAAACAGGAAAUUUUCGAGCUCUUUAGCAUCCCUAGCACCCUCUAAGUAAUGCGGCUCGGGUACCCUCAAGUUUUGUGGUGGAGUAACACGGGUGUUGUUCCCUCUCACAUUAAGAGCCCUUGUGAGCAAUAUCACCCUGGACGUGAGUUCCACCACGACUUCAUGCAGAGGUUACACAGAGUCUUUGGUGUCUUCCGUUAGUCGAUCGACUAGGGACUCAACCUAGUCGAUCCGAAAUUCAGCUUCUUUUUAUGAGCUCUCUACCCCAAGAAGCCUUCGUUGGCCUUAGUAGAGUUCCUCCAAGUUCGCUUCAAGAACAUCAAGGUGAGCUUCCAUAGCUGUAAGUCUCUCCUUAUGGCUUCUUUUCCCGGUUGGCGCUCCAAAUUGUGCCUCCUCUGCUCGUGGAGAAUAGCCAACUUCUUGCUCGUCUUAUUCGCUAUCGCACUUCUCCUGAGCGGCUCCAAUAGCAUAAGAGCGAGUUUGCACUUGUAUCCCACCUAAGCUGCUUGGGGCAAUGGCCCGGUUCGCCCCAUCUUGCUUGAUUCACCAUGAUGUUUCACUAUGGUGAGAUUAUGAAACUUUUUUGCUGUAUGCUCGAGUUGCUUAUCCACUCUGAUACCACAAUGUCACAGACUUAACUGAAAUUGCCUAAGUUGUGAUGCACUCUUGCGGCAAAGUCAUGGACUUAGUUGGAGUUGCGUAAGUCGUAAAGCACCUUUGCGUCAACUUCUCAGACUUAGCUGGGAUUGCCUAAGUCAUGAAAUGUCCUUGCGUUAUUCGCCCGCAAAGGGUUAGCCUAGUUGCAACCUUGCUCAGGUCCCGUAGGACCUAUAAAAAGAGCAAGUUGAUUAGUUCGACAGCAAGCGACGGACAAGUCCCAACACCUCACGAAGAGGCAGCUCUAUAAGCAAUUCAACAAACACUUGGUGUGCAAGAGAAAAAAGAGAGGAAAGAGAAAAUACGGACUUUAAAAUACAAAAUGAACAAUCCAAAGUCCACAAACGACUACUCAUAGGGUGUCAGGCACGUUGACAAGUUCCCAUCAACUUAACAUGCGAACUUGUGAAAACCGAUCAAUGCCCGACAUUACCCCGAAGCCCCAUCCACCCCUGUGCCACUCGGGGGAUUCUAGGGGUCUGAGAUGGUUGACGUUUUGCGCCACACCAUGGUCUGCAGAAAACUGGCCACAACACGUGAAAAUGGAGCCAUUUUGGGGUAGUUUUGUCUAGCAUGGUGAGUGGUCACACUGCAACGCUGCGAACUGUUCUUGCUUACAUUUUCAAAGCAAACACACACAAAACCAAGAUAAAACAUAUUGCUAAGCAUCUGUACAAGCACGCAAAAGCAACGAACGACUCGUUGAACGAAGAUGUUGUGGGUGCAGGACGACCAUUCGUGACAACGUGUUGAACACAGAUUCAUCACCAACACAGUCAUACAUGUGUCAAACACGUAUACAGCCAUGUCUUUUUUAAAAAAAAAAUUAAUUUGAUUGGAUACAAUGUUCGAGUGUAGGUUUUCUUACCUUAUAUGAAUAGAUCAUUAGCAUUAAAUACUACCUUCGUCCUGCCCCGACCAAUCCCUUCUUCCUUACCGGCGAAGCCUCUGCCCCCGGCCGAAGUGCCUCGCAAACCACCACCACCCACCAGUCGUAGCUGCUCCGACUCCUAAGCAAACUAGAGAUUUCACAACGAAGCAAACCCUUCUUCCUUGUUGAAGCAAAGCCCUCGACCUUGAGCGCCCCACUUGCAACCCAACGAUCAUUGCGCGUUCUUAGGCUAUCCAGCUCGAGCACCCCUCUGUCGUCAUGUGCUAUCAUCAUGCUAUCGAGCCCUUCACCUAGAGUGCCCCACUUGCGACCUAGCAACCAUCGUGCGCUCUCAGGCGCCCGCCCUGAGUGCCCCUCUACUACCGCAUGCCAUCGAGCCCUUUGCCCCGAGUGCCUCACCUACAUCCACCAUUACCCAGCAGCCAUCAUGCAACAACUUCCAUGGUGUCCGACGAAAAAUCUUCCUCAACGGCAUCCAACAAAGCUUCUUCCUCAACGCAUCGCAAGGUAAAUUACUAACUUUGUUUAGAUUUUAUACCACUUUAAAACACCUAUUUUGAUUAUUAACAUACUAUUAACCUUUUUUAUUUUUUAUUUUGUAGUUUUUUAAUCUGGGUUUUUUUACUACUUAUUAAAUUGUUAACCUAUUUUUUUUUUUUUAGUUUUUCAAAUCUAACUUACUAAAUUGUUAACAUAUUGUAUCUUUUUAUUUUUGUUAAUCUGGUUUUUGUACUUCUUCUGAUUAAAUUGUUAAAAUAUAACAAUUUGAGUAAACUGCAAAAUGUGUGUGUGUAUAUAUAUAUAUAUACACACGUGUCCUCAUUAUGUCCGUAUCAUGUUUUUUUUUUAAAUGACAUGUCGCCAUGUCCAUGUGUGUGCUUCGUAUGUACAGAUUUCUCACUCUUUUCCUAUUGUAUUAUUUUAUGUUCUAUUCACCAAAGUCAACUAGUUUUGUUCCACAGAUCUACAACUGAAAGAAAAAUCAUAUUGAUUUUCAUUAUGAAACAAAUGGCCUUGAUAUAUUUUUUGGGUCAAGCCUUCUGUUUUUCUUUUUUAAAGGAACGAAACCAAAUAAUUUAAGUCUCAAAACCUUGUCCUCGAGUUACAAAAGUGAGUUGGUUUUGCACCUAUCAAUAUCUUUCGGUGCUAUUUAGACUAGUUCACAGAGAGAUCAAGCUAGAGCAUAAAUUAUUGAAAGGCGUACCAUUCUCCUAUCAUAAUAAUGUCUAAGAUUGAAAAUGGCCCAUAGAGAAUAUUCAGCAGCUUUAUACUUGGUACAGGAAUGUUCCACUGUUACAGAUGUAAAUAUUUCAUUUGGUAGAUCUGGAUGCAAACUCUUUUCCUUGUUUGUGGGUGAAUCAUGAUGGCCAAUCGAACAUCUGAACAUACAUUCAAUUUCAACAGCCUUGAUGUUGGUAUCAUAUACAAUUGGAAGAAAGGUAGUGCUUUUCUGGGUCAAAGAAAAUAUUAUCGCAACUUCCCGAAAAAGUUGUUUGUGAAAAGGCACUUCACUGCACCGGGGAGAAGAAAAAAAAAAAGCAGAGACAUACACUAGCUCCUGAGUUUGAAAUCCAACUGCAAUAAUGCAUUUAGUCAAACAUUUGGAGGGUGAUCUGCAACCACAGAUAAUUGUUGAGAACCAAACAUUGUUAAACCAAAUAUAGACCAUUCAAGGUCUGACUCUCUUCUUUUUUUAAUCCUUCUCUGCCUCGUUUGAGAUUUAUCUUAAUAAACCAUGUAGGUCAUCCUGCCGACCAUAUAACCAAAAUAAAUGAUAAAUGGUUGCCAAAAUGAGCAUUUCGUGCCCUCAUGAACAAACGGUGAAAUGCUUAGACACUAAAUCAAAGAAGCUAAGAAACAGCAAAGAGAAUUCACGGCAAGGAGCAUUUGAGCUUAAAAACACAUUAUAUCUUUACACGAUUCACGUCAAACAUAAUUAUCAAAACACGAAGAUGCAUAAUUAAGAAGCAAAACAGAACCAAAUAAGAAUAACAUCAACAGCCACUUGCGGAAGAUAAUAAAACAACCCAUUGGUUCUGAAUUGAAUGCAGACAUCUUUCCAAUAAGGAGAUUAAUCCAUCGACAAAUCAGCAGAAGCAAAAUAACUAAUCUGAUCGUGAAGCAAAUAAAUUACUGCAAAUUCCUGCACAACAACGCAUGCAUGGGCCACUACAACACAUUAAUAAGUUUUCUUCAGAAAUCGCUUUAAUACUGCAUGUCUUGAGAGGGAAAACAUAGUAAAUAGCAAACAGGGCAAUCACAAUAUACUAAACCGUCCAAUUGUGAAACGGCGAAGAGGGAACAGAUGGAGAGAGGAGUACCAUCGAAGGGGAGAUGAUACUUGUCGGUCGUCGAUUGCCAUCAUCAGCCAUUGUCGAUUGCCGAUCACCAAUCAUCAACCACUGUCGAUUACAUUUCUUAGGAGAGAGUCGCUCGACUUCGAAUGUUUCCUCGUGAGAUUUGAUUCCUGGGUUAGGGUUUU